UACGUAGGGUGCGAGCGUUGUCCGGAAUUAUUGGGCGUAAAGAGCUUGUAGGUGGUUUGUCCGCAUCUGCUGUGAAAAUCCGAGGCUCAACCUCGGACUUGCAGUGGGUACGGGCAGACUUGAGUUCGGUAGGGGAGACUGGAAUUCCUGGUGUAGCGGUGAAAUGCGCAGAUAUCGGAAGGAACAUCAGUGGCGAAAGCGG
rnacentral:rRNA from 1 species